GAGAGGAGAGGAGGGGGGGCAGUUUCCAGGCUCUGAGAAGCCACCUGAAGAUUUGCAGAGUCAUGGCUCAGAAAAGAUGUGAUUCACCUUGGGGCAUCCACAGAGCAGAAGUUUGCAGGACAAGAUUACCAACAGCAUGUCAAAACUUGGGGAGAAAUCCCCUGAUACCCAGCUUUUGCCCAUGAUCACAAUGUUAUAUCAUAAUUUCACAAGAACUUAUGCUGAGAUGCCUCAAGAAAGUCUACAGAGCUUCCCACUGUAAUGAAGUCCAAUAGUGUGCCAUGAUUUUUAUAUGGAAUGUUUACCAAAAAAAAGUAUAUCAAAGUCAAUAGACUUCCAGCUCCUAUCAAGUAAAAGGAUAUUGAUUGGCAAAGAUUUCUUUAUCCAAGUGGAAUGUGUUUAAAUUUCAGUGGAAGGGAUAACAUGUAUGGAGAAGUUACAGAGUGUGAACUGCACACAUCUUCAGGAGCAGGGUCAUUAUUUAACAAGCACACAAUUGUGGCUGUUAUGGAAGAACACAGUGGAUAGGGGUAGUCCUGACCCACCCAUUGGCAUCAAUGAAUUUACUCCCAGGAGUAGGGAUUAUUCGUGGAGUAACAAUUGUGGCAUUGGAUCUACUGUCUCACCUGGCAUUCAGAUGUAAUUUUUUUCAAGCACCACCCAAACUGCACAGAAACUAAGGCUGGAACUGCAGCCAGGUUGGCCCCAGUUUUACAAAGCUCUUAGAGGACACCUAAAUCUAGAGUCAACUCAGAAAGUAUAAUAUCUUAUCAGCUGGGGGGACAUAUUGACAAUGUGUGAACCUGGGCGUCGGUAUCUAACAGGUGUCACUCUGUACCUCAUAGGAUUGGGUCCAUAACAGCUCUGAGCAUCUCCUUGUUUCCUCCUCUUUUUAAUGAACUUCUCCUACCAAA